rnacentral:tRNA from 1 species
AGAGGCUUAGGAUCAACUAGACCGGGGGCCUUCAAAGCCCUAAGCGAGGGUGAAAACCCCCCAGCCCCUG